AUGAUCAUAAGUCACUGCAGCCUCAACCUCCCGGGCUCAAUGAAUCCUCCCAGUUCAGCCUCCCCAGUAGCUGGGACUACCAGAUCAAACCAAUAUAAAUCAUCGCAUGUAUUGAUGGAUGGAUCGUGUUUCCCUAAAUGCAUAAAAGCUAGCUGUACCCCGACCAUCAUGGGCACAUGUCCCCAGGACCUCCGGAGUCUGCAUCAUGGGCGUGUCCUUAAUUUUGGCAAAAUAAACUUUGUAAAUUGACUGAGAUCUGUCUCAGAUACUUUUGGGUUCACACCUAAUUGUUUCAUGUUUUACAGUUGGCUUGUUCAAAUCAGGACCCAAACAAUGUCUACACAUGCAUUUGGUUGAUAAGUCUCUUAAAUCUGUUUUAAUUUAUGACUUGCUUCCAUCUGCUGUGGGUCCCCACCCACCACACCCUGUACCAGGAUUACAUUUUGAGACAAUCUUUCCAAGCCUUGUGAACACACAGUUUUCCAAUUUCAAUUAAUGACUCAUCUCUCCUGCUAAACAAAUAACAACAUAAUGAUCUCUCCUGCUAAACAAAUAACAACAUAAUGGACCACCUUCUUUUUUUUUAAUUUUAAGGGUUUUGGUUUUUUUGUUUUUUUUGGCUGAGAGAGGGUCUCACUGUAUUGCCCAGACUGGUCUUGAACUCAUGGCCUCAAGCCAUCCUCUCUCCUUGGCCUCCCAAAGUACUGGGAUUACAGUACUUUGGGGAUUAUAGGCAUGAGCCAAUAUGCCUGGCCUAGAUCCCCUUCUUUAAGAUGUAACUUUAAGAGGUACCCUUUUAAAGUAUUAACACUUAUCAACAAAAUAUAGUCUGAUUACACCUUAUACUGGAGGAUAUAGAAGUCAAUUUCACACAACAGUUGCUAUAACACUUUUUUAAAACUCUACUAUCAGGGGAUGUUUCACAAAAGUGAAUAAAUAUUUUGCUCCAUUGACAAUGCCUUUGCCAUAGCUUUUAAAUAAUUAAUAUGAAGUGGGAAAAUGUUUCAGAGGCAAUACACAUCAGUGACAUCCUAGUGAUGGUACCCCUUCUCCCUAGACCUCCUUAAGGUUACUUUUAUAUUCUUCUCUCUAUGAACCGGUGUAAAACUAAUAGCUUCACAGGAAAAAUCUCACUGAGACCUCUUGGCAAGUUUCCCCCAAGCUGAGUCGCAUCUGUGGAGAACUGGUGUGAAGUGAAAACACAGGGAGUAACAGAUAUCUGUGAAUUUAUUUUGGUCAACUUGACGCUAUUAACUGCAGGCCUUGACGGAAAUGCUGUCAACCCUCCUCCCUAGUCUGGCUUCCUUGCUUAGGACCCAGGAGGAAGCCCAUUCUCAAGGUCUGUUUACUCUUCAAACCUGGUUCCCCUGGGCUUGCACCUCACCCCUGAACUUAACACCUGAACAGGCAAAGUUUUGCACUGUAAAUUUGGAGGUGUGAGUCUCAUUAUUGCAUUUCCUGUGGUGCACGCCUAGGAUUUGUCCAGCGCUGGAACAGGC
rnacentral:lncRNA from 1 species